rnacentral:rRNA from 1 species
CCUACGGGAGGCAGCAGUAGGGAAUCUUCCACAAUGGGCGAAAGCCUGAUGGAGCAACGCCGCGUGGGUGAAGAAGGUCUUCGGAUCGUAAAACCCUGUUGUUAGAGAAGAAAGUGCGUGAGAGUAACUGUUCACGUUUCGACGGUAUCUAACCAGAAAGCCACGGCUAACUACGUGCCAGCAGCCUCGGUAAUACGUAGGUGGCAAGCGUUAUCCGGAUUUAUUGGGCGUAAAGGGAACGCAGGCGGUCUUUUAAGUCUGAUGUGAAAGCCUUCGGCUUAACCGGAGUAGUGCAUUGGAAACUGGGAGGCUUGAGUGCAGAAGAGGAGAGUGGAACGCCAUGUGUAGCGGUGAAAUGCGUAGAUAUAUGGAAGAACACCAGUGGCGAAAGCGGCUCUCUGGUCUGUAACUGACGCUGAGGUUCGAAAGCGUGGGUAGCAAACAGGAUUAGAUACCCCGGUAGUC